GGAGAGGUGUCCGAGCGGACGAAGGAGCGCGGUUGGAAACUGCGUGUUCGGGAUUACUCUCGAACCGAGGGUUCGAAUCCCUCCCUCUCCGCCA
rnacentral:tRNA from 1 species